rnacentral:rRNA from 1 species
ACGGGAGGCAGCAGUGGGGAAUAUUGCACAAUGGGGGGAACCCUGAUGCAGCGAUGCCGCGUGGAGGAAGAAGGUUUUCGGAUUGUAAACUCCUGUCUUAAGGGACGAUAAUGACGGUACCUUAGGAGGAAGCUCCGGCUAACUACGUGCCAGCAGCCGCGGUAAUACGUAGGGAGCGAGCGUUGUCCGGAAUUACUGGGUGUAAAGGGAGCGUAGGCGGGAUGGCAAGUCAGAUGUGAAAACUAUGGGCUUAACCCAUAGACUGCAUUUGAAACUGUCGUUCUUGAGUGAAGUAGUGGUAAGCGGAAUUCCUGGUGUAGCGGUGAAAUGCGUAGAUAUCAGGAGGAACAUCGGUGGCGAAGGCGGCUUACUGGGUUUUUACUGACGCUGAGGCUCGAAAGCGUGGGGAGCAAACAGGAUUAGAUACCCUGGUA